CGGCUCAGGUGCCAAGUCCUCCCCCAGCACCCCACACAUACGCACAGACAGCUGUGCUGAGACUGCAAAAGCAGCCAUUUGUUUUCACCGUCUGAGCAACAGCGCCUUUUACUGAAGCUUCCCCACGUGCCCAGCACGUCCCCACCCAAGCUCAUGGCAGCCCUGCAGGAAAGGUGUCACUUUCAGUGUCCGGGAGAGGAAACUGAGGUUCAGAGAGCAUGAAUGUGCCAAACUGGUAUUUGAACCCAGGACUUUGGGUCUCAUCCUCCACUCCGCUGGGCACUCUGUGCUCCUAAAGCCUCCUCUGAGGAAAUCGUUUUUUGGCUCAGCUGACUCCAGAUCCACCCCAGCCUGCCCUGUCCCUCGGAUGGUGACUACUGGGGACUCCCAGGCGUGAGCAGGACCUUCUCCAUCUACGACCUCACUGAAGCAUCCCACGAUGAGGCUUGUGGCCACCCUCAUUUUACAGGGAGGGAAGAUGGCUCAGUGGCUCAGAGGAGGCUCCUAGAACGCAUCCUCAUCUCCCUUCUCCAGUAAGUGGCUGCCACACACCCCGCCUCCCUGAAGCUGGCAGGGCGCCAUGGGUCUCGGCCACAAUUGGGUGAAAGAGCCAACACACACGAGGGUACUCGACAGCCCUGUGAAGAGGCCAAGGCGAUGAGGAACUGAAGCCGUCUGCCAACGGCCAAGUGGGAGACACACACUUGGAAGCAGACCCUUCAGCCCAACCAAGCCUUCAAACGCGUGCAGUGCCAUCUGACCACUUUUUUUAAAAAAAGCUUUAUUGAGAUAUAAUUCACAUACUACACAAUUCACCCCUUUAAAGUGUACAAUUUAUACAACUCUUUAACAUGUCUGAGUGCUCAAAAAUAAAGUGUACAAUUUAGUGUUUCAGUGUGUUCAUAGUUGUGCAACCACCACCACUACCUAAUUCCAGGACAUUUUCAUCACUCGAAAAAGAAAUCCUGUGACCGGUAACAGUCAUUCCACCUUCGCCCCAACUCCUAGCCCCAGGUGCCCACUAAUCCACUGCGUGUCUCCAUAGCAUUGCUUGUCCCAGACAUUUCAUAUAAAUGGAGCCACACAGUACAUGAUCCUUUGGUGCCCGGCUUCUUUCACUUAGCAUCAUGUUUUCAAGGUUCACCUGCGUUGUAGCAGGUGUCAGCACUGCAUUCCAUUUUAUGACUAGAUAAUAUUCCACCAUAUGGAUAAACCACAUUUAUCCACUUGGGUUGUUUCUACUUUAGGGCUAUAAACAUUCACGUAAAAGCUUUUGUGUGAACAUAUGUCUUCAUCUGUCCUCAGCACAUACCUAGGGGUGGAACUGCGGGGGCACCUUUGUCUUUAACCAUGUGAAGAGCUGCCCAACUGUUUCCACGGCGGCCGCACCAUUUU